rnacentral:rRNA from 1 species
GGAGGAUCCGAGCGUUAUCCGGAUUUAUUGGGUUUAAAGGGAGCGUAGGCGGACGCUUAAGUCAGUUGUGAAAGUUUGCGGCUCAACCGUAAAAUUGCAGUUGAUACUGGGUGUCUUGAGUACAGUAGAGGCAGGCGGAAUUCGUGGUGUAGCGGUGAAGUGCUUAGAUAUCACGAAGAACUCCGAUUGCGAAGGCAGCCUGCUGGACUGUAACUGACGCUGAUGCUCGAAAGUGUGGGUAUCAAACAGGAUUAGAUACCCUGGUAGUCCACACAGUAAACGAUGAAUACUCGCUGUUUGCAAUAUACAGUAAGCGGCCAAGCGAAAGCGUUAAGUAUUCCACCUGGGGAGUACGCCGGCAACGGUG